CCUUAACCUGCUAACUAGUAGCUGGAAGUACGCUUCCAGUCGACUUCUUAGAGGGACUGACUACGUUUAGUAGUCGGAAGUUUGAGGCAAUAACAGGUCUGUGAUGCCCUUAGAUGUUCUGGGCUGCACGCGCGCUACACUGACAAAGGCAGCGAGUAUGCCUUGGCCGAGAGGUCUGGGAAAUCUUGUGAAACUUUGUCGUGCUGGGGAUAGAUCAUUGCAAUUGUUGGUCUUGAACGAGGAAUUCCUAGUAAGCGCCAGUCAUUAGCUGGCGCUGAUUACGUCCCUGCCCUUUGUACACACCGCCCGUCGCUACUACCGAUUGGAUGUGUUAGUGAGGCCUUUGGAUCUGUCUUGAUGCCCUUGGGUAUUAGGAUGUGAGAAAUUGGUCAAACUUGGUCAUUUAGAGGAAGUAAAAGUCG
rnacentral:rRNA from 1 species